GGUUUGAAAAGAGGAAGCGUGUUGAUAGUGGUGCCAAAUCCGUAUCAAACAACAAGUUCCCCCUCAGUUCGUUGAUCGAGCAUUUUGCGAGAUCGAUGAACUUGCAAGAGAUUAGUUCAGCAUGAAUUGAUCGGCCAAUUUUAUGCGUGACUCGCCGCAAUGUUGGAGUAGAUGAUCUUUUCUUGCGAGGUAUUCUAUCUUAUUCAUGUAUAGACAAGUCAUGAAUGGGAUGUCAAAGAGAUGUCGCGCGCAGAUUGUUGCGGACGAGCUGUCAUAGACGUGCUUCUUUUUCUAUCAAACUUCUUACUCUAUAAAUGGC
rnacentral:lncRNA from 1 species